rnacentral:rRNA from 1 species
GGGCCCGCACAAGCGGUGGAGCAUGUGGUUUAAUUCGAUGCUACGCGAAGAACCUUACCAGGUCUUGACAUCUUCUGCCAACCUAAGAGAUUAGGCGUUCCCUUCGGGGACAGAAUGACAGGUGGUGCAUGGUUGUCGUCAGCUCGUGUCGUGAGAUGUUGGGUUAAGUCCCGCAACGAGCGCAACCCUUAUUGUUAGUUGCCAGCAUUCAGUUGGGCACUCUAGCAAGACUGCCGGUGACAAACCGGAGGAAGGUGGGG